AGAGCAGUCCAUCUUCAAGGUCCGGAUAACAUGAGAAAUGAACCUUCUCACAUCGUUGUUGGGGAUGAUGGACUGUAGUUGAUAGGUUAGCGGAAUUUCAAACUGAUCACCUGGGGAUGAGAGCAAUGGGUAAUUGAAGCUUUUGGGCUCGGGGGACAGGUCAGUGCCAACGUUGUUGUAUUCCCAUUUUGUCUCAGUUUGUUUAACAGUUGGCUCUAAGUUGAACGCAGUCCUAGUGGAAUCUGCCUCAGGAAGAUGAUUGGUUUGUGUUUUCAGAGAUGGUGCCUUCUGGCAUAGUAGUGUUUUCCAUAAAAACGUUUUCUUCAGAGGCAUUUCUUGCAGUUGUGUUUUUUACAGUAGUGUUUUCUAUAAAACGUUCUGAAGGAGCAAAUACUUCUGGAAAAGGGUUUUCUUGAGGACUCAGGUCUCCUGAGGAUGAAAAAGCUGCUUGUGAAGGGGAAUUUAUGAGACUCUUCGCUGCAGAGAACGGCGGCCUCUUUGUGAGCAUCAAUCUAUUGAGAUAACUUUUCUUUCUGAAUUUUCUAAUCUUUUUGGCCUUGGGUGUUCUGUGGGCCACAUGGGAGUGAUUUUUGUGAAAGUGGUAUUUUUUUCUGGAAUGUACGAUUGGUUUAGCAGCCUUCAUAUUUUUUAACUCUAGCCUUUGCAUUUUCUAAAAUUAAAAUGGUGUAGGCUAAGUCUUUCGAUCUGUCUCCGACCUGAGGUAGGGCUUUUGCAGUUGUGGAAGGCAGAAGGCACGCCCAUGGAGAAGGGUUUCAGCAGAGAGGAGACUGUUGGCUUCUGUUCUUGGGUGAAUGAAGGCUUGGUGUAGAUGGCAUUUGCCGCUACAUUCUCGGGCCCCUGCACUAUCUGAGGCUGUUCUAGCUCCCUUGGGGCUGGACUCCCGAGCCUUUUUUCUUUGGCAGCAUUCUCCCCAAAUGCCUGGGCACCCUGUUCCCUCCUGAUACUCUGCUUUCCCACCUCUUUGAAGGGCCUUUUCUGGAUGCUCCUUGGGCCCAUGAGGACUCUGUUCACUCUCUGCAGGUUUUUGCCUACACUUUGAACCUUUGCCAGGCUGUUUUCCUGUGGUUGGACAAUUUCUAAUUUAUUUUCAAAUAUUUGGCGUUUAAAUUUGUUACCUAGAAGGCUGGGCUGCAAGCAUGGCAGUUUUUUCUUCCCUUUUUAACUUCAUCGAUUUUUUCUUGUAUUUCUGCAUCUAACAUCUUUUCUAGCAAAUACACCUUUCUCAAUUUAUUUUCAUAAGUUGAAUUGUUGGAUGCAGGUUGAAACGAGGGGCUCUUUGUAUUGUUUUUCAAAACAGGAGCCUAUCUCCAUCUUGCACAUUUGAAAAAAGCAGUUUAAUGAAUGGUAACAACAUUGAUUCCGCAUCUAGAUUUCCUGCUGAGAAAUAAGGCAAGAUGUAACAGCGCACUGAUAACAUCACUGUCAUCGUUAGUGUCUAGCUGCUCACUCCCAAAGCCUGACAAGUUGAUGCCACUGCUGUCUGAGGCUGCCUCCGGCUCAGUAGUCAGCUCAGUGCUCAUGUGCUUCUUCCAGGCUUGUAACACUUUCAUGAACACUCCUUCUGGAUUCCCUACAGAUGCUUCUUCACCUGUCAAAAAAGAAGAGACUGCUUUGAUCCUGAAAGAUAAUGGGACAGCAUGCAUCAGUCCACAGCUGUAUGCCCCAGCCACACAAAGUAGGAGUUAGCAAACAUUAGAAUGCCAUUCAGAGAGGAGAAACACACACCCAAUCCUAAACCUAUGAAAUGGCAACAACAAAAGGAGGAAAAGAUAUCUUUUGAAAAUAUGGCUACCUACUUGGAACAUUCCAUAGUGUGACAUAGAGUAACUCUGCUUAGGAUUAUUUCGUUGAUCCCCAGGGGCCAAUUGCCCAGUGCUCAGUCAAAGCCCAAGGUGGAAGACAAGUGCUUCCCUGAUGAGCUGUCCUCUCUGCAGACUGCUCUGUACCCUGUGCUGUCCUGCCUCAGAUGCAGAGAGAGCACAAGGCUCCCUCUCUCCUCGUCCUCAGUGUGCCUGUGUUCUUGCUACCAUCACAGCUGAAUGCAAUGAAAGGCUAUCCUCUGAGAGGAGCAGGGUGGAGAUGCUAAAGUGGAGGCCCCCUCCCAUUGCUGAUAGAUCCUCAUCUGGCACGCGCUCCACCCACCCACCCCAGUCUCUGCUACCACAUAUCGUAGCCCCAUCAAAGAAGACACGACAUGGAAAAAACACUGUGUCCACCCUAGUCCUUUUCUUAAAUUUGGGCAGGGAUCCAGGGUGUAGGUUAAGAGAUUUUUAAUUUGCCAGAUGGUAUGCCUAUGUUGUUAAAUAUACAAUGAAUCUAUGGUAUGAUAGCAGUUUCUGGAUAAACAUUACUUGAGGUCCUAAAAUGCAGAAGGGAAAAAACAGCUUUUGUCAGAUGCCUACUUUGCUUUCAUUUCAUCUCUAAUAUGUUGGAUGGGGAAUCAUCCAAAGCUUCUGACUGCGUGAAGGUCAAGUGUGCCAGUGUGCAGCUGGGUUUCUUUUCCAGAAUUAAAAGUAUUUUGGGUGGUGCUGAGGGUCAGAGGAAGAAGUAAAGAUUGUGAGAAAGGAGAAACAUGGGCUUGGGGAGAACCCAGAAUUGGGGACAGAAGACCUGGCACUAAGUUAUAGCACUUAGCACCUCUGAUCUUGUUUUUCCUCAUCUGUAAAAGGAGAUUAACAGUGCUUUUCUGCCCACCUCUUGGGGAGAAGGGAAUAAUUUAGUUGGUUAAAAAAAAAAAGUUUUGAAAAAUAAGCAACUCUGUCUUUAUAUAAGUAGCCAAGCAUUAUUAAUUAUCCACCCCAUAUCACUGGUAGAUACCUGUAUUCAAGCUAUGUGGACAUAAAAGCAAUCACAUUUUAGAAGUGAUGAAGUUGGUGCUAAUAAACCCAAUCUACAGAAAAA
rnacentral:lncRNA from 1 species